AGAGCUUGCUCUGGCUGACGAGUGGCGGACGGGUGAGUAACGAGUAGGAAUGUACUCAGUAGCGGGGGAUAGCCCGGGGAAACCCGGAAUAAUACCGCAUACGCCCCACGGGGGAAAGAGGGCCUCUUCUUGAAAGCUCUCAGUUAUUGGAGGAGCCUGCGUUGGAUUAGCUAGUUGGUGGGGUAAAGGCCUACCAAGGCGACGAUCCAUAGGCGGUCCGAGAGGACGAUCAGCCACACUGGAAAUGAGACACUGUCCAGACUCGUACGGGAGGCAGCAGUCAGGAAUAUUGUGCAAUGGGGGAAACCGUGUCACAGCCAUGCCGCGUGUGUGAAGAAGGCCUUAGGGUUGUAAAGCACUUUCAGCAGGGAGGAACUAGCAGCGUUAAUACCGCUGUGAGAUGACGUUACCUACAGAAGAAGAUCCGGCUAACUCCGUGCCAGCAGCCGCGGUAAUACGGAGGGAUCGAACGUUAAUCGGAAUUACUGGGCGUAAAGCGCGCGUAGGUGGUUUGUUAAGUGGGAUGUGAAAGCCCCGGGCUCAACUUGGGAACUGCAUUCCAAACUGACAAACUAGAGUACGAUAGAGGGGGGUAGAAUUCAGAGUGUAGCGGUGAAAUGCGUAGAUAUUUGAGGAAUACCGGUGGCGAAGGCGGCCCCCUGGAUUGAUACUGA
rnacentral:rRNA from 1 species